UACCAGCACCCCGAGUGGUCGGGACGAUUAUUGGGCCUAAAGCAUCCGUAGCCGGUCCUACAAGUCUUCCGUUAAAUCCACCUGCUCAACAGAUGGGCUGCGGAAGAUACUAUAGGGCUAGGAGGCGGGAGAGGCAAGCGGUACUCAGUGGGUAGGGGUAAAAUCCUCUGAUCCAUUGAAGACCACCAGUGGCGAAGGCGGCUUGCCAGAACGCGCUCGACGGUGAGGGAUGAAAGCUGGGGGAGCAAACGGG
rnacentral:rRNA from 1 species